rnacentral:rRNA from 1 species
GACGAACGCUGGCGGCGUGCCUAACACAUGCAAGUCGAACGGAAAGGCCCUGCUUGUUUGGUGUUCUCGGUUGGCGAACGGGUGAGUAACACGUGAGUAACCUGCCCUUGACUUUGGUAUAACUUCAGGAAACUGGGGCUAAUACCGGAUAGGAGCUUCUGCUGCAUGGUGGGGGUUGGAAAGUUUCGGCGGUUGGGGAUGGAGGCGCGGCUUAUCAGCUUGUUGGUGGGGAAGUGGCUUACCAAGGCUUUGACGGGUAGCCGGCCUGAGAGGGUGACCGGGCACAUAGGCCUAGGGGAGGGGCCAAGAGGGAAACGGGGGGCAGGGGCGGAAAACUGUGCCAACUGGGCGGAGGGCUGAAGGAAGAACGUCGCGUGGGAAAUGCCGGUUUUCGGGUAAUAAAACGAUUUCGCCUGUAACGAAGCGUGAGGGAGGGUACUGAGUAAAGAGGCACGGGUAAAUUAGGU